UCCGGAGGGGGCUAGCGUUGUUCGGAAUUACUGGGCGUAAAGCGCGCGUAGGCGGACCUGCAAGUCGGGGGUGAAAGCCCGAGGCUUAACCUCGGAACUGCCUUCGAUACUGCGGGUCUCGAGUCCGGGAGAGGUGAGUGGAAUUCCUAGUGUAGAGGUGAAAUUCGUAGAUAUUAGGAAGAACACCAGUGGCGAAGGCGGCUCACUGGCCCGGUACUGACGCUGAGGCGCGAAAGCGUGGGGAGAAAACAGG
rnacentral:rRNA from 1 species